rnacentral:rRNA from 1 species
CCCUUAGACGUUCUGGGCCGCACGCGCGCUACACUGACCAGUGCAACAAGCAUCCGUCCUUGGCCGACAGGCCCGGGCAAUCUUUGAACGCUGGUCGUGAUGGGGAUAGACUUUUGCAAUUUUUGGUCUUCAACGAGGAAUUCCUAGUAAACGCAAGUCAUCAACUUGCAUUGAUUACGUCCCUGCCCUUUGUACACACCGCCCGUCGCACCUACCGAUCGAAGAGUUAGGUGAAUUGUUUUGAUCGAUAAGAUUUGACUAUGGUCAACUCUCGUUGUGAAAUUCUGUGAAUCUGACUGUUUAGAGGAAGGAAAAGUCGUAACA